GAGUUUGAUCCUGGCUCAGGAUGAACGCUGGCGGCGUGCCUAAUACAUGCAAGUCGAGCGAACGGACGAGAAGCUUGCUUCUCUGAUGUUAGCGGCGGACGGGUGAGUAACACGUGGAUAACCUACCUAUAAGACUGGGAUAACUUCGGGAAACCGGAGCUAAUACCGGAUAAUAUUUUGAACCGCAUGGUUCAAAAGUGAAAGACGGUCUUGCUGUCACUUAUAGAUGGAUCCGCGCUGCAUUAGCUAGUUGGUAAGGUAACGG
rnacentral:rRNA from 1 species